rnacentral:rRNA from 1 species
UACGGAGGGUGCGAGCGUUGUCCGGAAUCACUGGGCGUAAAGGGCGCGUAGGCGGUUCUUCAAGCGUGUGGUGAAAGUCCGGGGCUCAACCCCGGAUCGGCCGUGCGAACUGGGGGACUCGAGCACUGUAGAGGCAGGUGGAAUUCCGGGUGUAGCGGUGAAAUGCGUAGAUAUCUGGAGGAACAUCAGUGGCGAAGGCGACACCCUGGACUCAUACUGACACUGAGGUGCGAAAGCGUGGGGAGCAAACAGG